GCAAAUAUAGUUUAUUUAAAACACUAGACUGUGAAUCUAGAAAUAGAAGCCCACAUCUUCUUAUUUACC
rnacentral:tRNA from 1 species